AUGCACGCCGGCGGCGUGCCUAAUACAUGCAAGUCGAGCGAACAGACGAGGAGCUUGCUCCUCUGACGUUAGCGGCGGACGGGUGAGUAACACGUGGAUAACCUACCUAUAAGACUGGGAUAACUUCGGGAAACCGGAGCUAAUACCGGAUAAUAUAUUGAACCGCAUGGUUCAAUAGUGAAAGACGGUUUUGCUGUCACUUAUAGAUGGAUCCGCGCCGCAUUAGCUAGUUGGUAAGGUAACGGCUUACCAAGGCAACGAUGCGUAGCCGACCUGAGAGGGUGAUCGGCCACACUGGAACUGAGACACGGUCCAGACUCCUACGGGAGGCAGCAGUAGGGAAUCUUCCGCAAUGGGCGAAAGCUUGACGGAGCAACGCCGCGUGAGUGAUGAAGGUCUUCGGAUCGUAAAACUCUGUUAUUAGGGAAGAACAAAUGUGUAAGUAACUAUGCACGUCUUGACGGUACCUAAUCAGAAAGCCACGGCUAACUACGUG
rnacentral:rRNA from 1 species